CGACAGCAUUGUCAAAAAUGACGGCCUUAUACAGAGAGGGUGUGCAGACAGGUGCUUCAUCAUUCUCAUCUUCGAUGUCAACAGUGACCUGUCAGCCAUGGGGGAAGAAGAAACAUCACAUCCACGUCAUAGGAUUAUUUAUACACAAACUCACAACAAUCAAGAUCAUUUUCUUAAAGACAAUGAAUCAAGCCCUGAUAUGCAGUGUUUGCUGAUUUCCGUGGUGUAAAUACUCCCACCAUUUUCACCAAGAAGUUGGAAAGAGAAAAGCAGCAAGCACACCGUUAUCUAUAUGGAAUCUCACCACGCGGAUCCAAGAGAUGUAAAUAACCUCAAAGGCACAGUACGAUUCAACUCCAGCCCCACAGCUGGUUCGAUGGGUCCCUUGAAGUAUUCAAGUCAAGCCUGAAGGAGAUGCUGAGAGAGGGAUGUGUUCCUCUCUUGGAUACAGAAGAUACAGGUAUUAUUUCUGCUGUCUCUUUCAAAUCUAAUGUUGCUUGCUCUGUGCUAACAAACAGGUCCUACUUCAUAUGCGAUUCAAGGUUGAGAUAGGACCCUGACCAAGAUCCUGACUCUACACCCAAAAUCUUGACCCCAGAUGUUUGUAGGAUUAAAUUGCACUGGCAAUGACCAUAUCAACUCCUACUUUCUUCACACUUAGACCUAGUUUGGGGGCAAGGUGGAAGAGAAAUGGAAUAAAAUUAAUACUGUGUGUUCUUCCAUCACAAAAGUCCCAGGCCUGACAUCAAAGUUCCAGGGAGCCUUUGGGAACAGUCAGGCUGGCAGACUGAGGCCAAUGCCAAUGAAAAGUGACUUGUUCUCCGAACGUCUGGAGCUCCUCGGUGCUCCUCAUUUGCUUGUAUUUUGCAAACUCGCGUGCUUUUUUCCCACUGGCCACUCAUGUUCUAACACCCUAGCUGUG